rnacentral:rRNA from 1 species
GUGCCAGCCGCCGCGGUAAUACGUAUGGGGCAAGCGUUAUCCGGAUUUAUUGGGCGUAAAGCGCGCGUAGGCGGCUUGUUAAGUCAGAUGUGAAAUCCGGGGGCUCAACCCGCGGCUUGCAUCUGAAACUGGCAGGCUUGAGUCUGGUAGAGGAAAGUGGAAUUCCUGGUGUAGCGGUGAAAUGCGCAGAUAUCAGGAGGAACACCAGUGGCGAAGGCGGCUUUCUGGGCCACGACUGACGCUGAGGCGCGAAAGCUAGGGGAGCGAACAGGAUUAGAUACCCUGGUAGUCCUAGCCGUAAACGAUGGGCACUAGGUGUGGGGGGUCAUCGACUCCCUCCGUGCCGAAGCUAACGCAUUAAGUGCCCCGCCUGGGGAGUACGGCCGCAAGGCUAAAACUCAAAUGAAUUGACGG